UACGGAGGUGGCAAGCGUUGUUCGGAAUUACUGGGCGUAAAGGGCGCGUAGGCGGCAAGGCAAGUCAGGUGUGAAAGCCCCGGGCUUAACUCGGGAAUUGCAUCUGAAACUGCUGUGCUUGAGUUCUGGAGGGAGUAGUGGAAUUCCCAGUGUAGCGGUGAAAUGCGUAGAUAUUGGGAGGAACACCUGCGGCGAAGGCGGCUACCUGGACAGAAACUGACGCUGAGGCGCGAAAGCUAGGGGAGCGAACGGG
rnacentral:rRNA from 1 species